rnacentral:rRNA from 1 species
UGCAAGUCGAGCGGAAACGAGUUAUCUGAACCUUCGGGGAACGAUAACGGCGUCGAGCGGCGGACGGGUGAGUAAUGCCUAGGAAAUUGCCUUGAUGUGGGGGAUAACCAUUGGAAACGAUGGCUAAUACCGCAUAAUGCCUACGGGCCAAAGAGGGGGACCUUCGGGCCUCUCGCGUCAAGAUAUGCCUAGGUGGGAUUAGCUAGUUGGUGAGGUAAUGGCUCACCAAGGCGACGAUCCCUAGCUGGUCUGAGAGGAUGAUCAGCCACACUGGAACUGAGACACGGUCCAGACUCCUACGGGAGGCAGCAGUGGGGAAUAUUGCACAAUGGGCGCAAGCCUGAUGCAGCCAUGCCGCGUGUAUGAAGAAGGCCUUCGGGUUGUAAAGUACUUUCAGCAGUGAGGAAGGGGGUGUCGUUAAUAGCGGCAUYUCUUGACGUUAGCUGCAGAAGAAGCACCGGCUAACUCCGUGCCAGCAGCCGCGGUAAUACGGAGGGUGCGAGCGUUAAUCGGAAUUACUGGGCGUAAAGCGCAUGCAGGUGGUUUGUUAAGUCAGAUGUGAAAGCCCGGGGCUCAACCUCGGAACUGCAUUUGAAACUGGCAAACUAGAGUACUGUAGAGGGGGGUAGAAUUUCAGGUGUAGCGGUGAAAUGCGUAGAGAUCUGAAGGAAUAC